rnacentral:rRNA from 1 species
UACAGAGGGUGCGAGCGUUGUUCGGAAUUACUGGGCGUAAAGCGCGCGCAGGCGGCUUCCUAAGUCCGUCGGUGAAAGACCGGGGCUCAACCCCGUGUCAGCCAUGGAUACUGGGAGGCUGGAGACAGGUAGAGGCAAGCGGAAUUCCGGGUGUAGCGGUGGAAUGCGUAGAUAUCCGGAAGAACACCGGAGGCGAAGGCGGCUUGCUGGACCGGGUCUGACGCUGAGGCGCGAAAGCGUGGGGAGCGAACAGG